UCCUCUUCUCUCUCUUCACUCCCAUUCCUUCUUUUGUCUCAUUCUUCGCUAAAAUAACCCGAAACCCUAAUCCCCUAGUCCCGACGGCGGCGUUAUCUUGCCUGGUAGCCACAAAAUCUCAAUCCCCUCUAAUCAAAUCCCUGUUAACCCAAAAUCAUGACAACAAAAUCAAGAACAACAACCUUAAGCUAAGUUUCAAAAAAAUACCUCGUCGUGCUUCUUUGAGUCUUCGAUUUUGGGUUCUGGUCCUUUCUCCUUUGUGUGUGUUCGUAGGUGACGGUGGUGAUGGUGACGAUGGCAGCGGCUCGGCAGUGCAUUGA